UUGUUUUGAUUACUUUUUGUGUGCUUUUUGAAGUGUCAAAAUUACUGUUUUUCAAAUGAAAACGGGUCGAUAAAUUUGUCCGUUGUUUAAUUUAAUUAUGUUUUUGGUAAUAAGUUAGUUAACGUUUCGCGUUCUGCUCAUCAGUAUACGACAGCCGUUUUAACCACCGUGUAGACGUUUAGUUCAAAAGCUCAUCAAUGCCAGAUGGACAGAGGCGUAGAAAUCAAAGUAAUCUCACACAAAGGAAUGAUACAUGUUUAUUUAUAUAAUAUACACACACUUAUGAGAAGCAAUUGAGCAACACUAACAACGCUAUUGCCUAAAAUUAUAAGGAUUCCGGCGAAAAUCAACGGUCACUUAGCUGCUGCCUCCUUCACGAUUACUGCCUAUGCCUAGAAAUAGAUGAAUAAAUUUCCCUCAGUUUGCCUACUAUACUGAAAACAUGUA